GACGAACGCUGGCGGCGUGCCUAAUACAUGCAAGUGGGACGCAAGGGAACACACUGUGCUUGCACACCGUGUUUUCUUGAGUCGCGAACGGGUGAGUAACGCGUAGGUAACCUGCCUAUUAGCGGGGGAUAACUAUUGGAAACGAUAGCUAAUACCGCAUAAUAUUAAUUAUUGCAUGAUAAUUGAUUGAAAGAUGCAAGCGCAUCACUAGUAGAUGGACCUGCGUUGUAUUAGCUAGUUGGUAAGGUAAGAGCUUACCAAGGCGACGAUACAUAGCCGACCUGAGAGGGUGAUCGGCCACACUGGGACUGAGACACGGCCCAGACUCCUACGGGAGGCAGCAGUAGGGAAUCUUCGGCAAUGGACGAAAGUCUGACCGAGCAACGCCGCGUGAGUGAAGAAGGUUUUCGGAUCGUAAAGCUCUGUUGUAAGUCAAGAACGUGUGUGAGAGUGGAAAGUUCACACAGUGACGGAGCUACCAG
rnacentral:rRNA from 1 species